rnacentral:misc_RNA from 1 species
GAUGAAGAACGUAGCAAAAUGCGAUAAGUAAUGUGAAUUGCAGAAUUCAGUGAAUCAUCGAAUCUUUGAACGCACAUUGCGCCCGCUGGUAUUCCGGCGGGCAUGCCUGUUCGAGCGUCAUUUCAACCCUCAAGCCCCCGGGUUUGGUGUUGGGGAUCGGCUCUGCCCUUCUGGGCGGUGCCGCCCCCGAAAUACAUUGGCGGUCUCGCUGCAGCCUCCAUUGCGUAGUAGCUAACACCUCGCAACUGGAACGCGGCGCGGCCAUGCCGUAAAACCCCAACUUCUGAAUGUUGACCUCGGAUCAGGUAGGAAUACCCGCUGAACUUAAGCAUAUCAAUAAGCGAAGGA